rnacentral:lncRNA from 1 species
AUAAAGAACAAAGAAGUAUAAUAUAACAAACUUAAAACAACUAAGGAACUACUUUUGGCUUCUCAUGUUUUCUCAAAAACCUCCUAUUUUUAUUUAAAUUAGACAAUCUGUAUUUUAAAUGUGUGAAUAGACUAAUUAAGUAGCCCUUCAUAUUAUGUGUCUCAUUAGUAUGACAAAGAGAAAAGAAUGCAAAAGGUGCAUUGUUACAACUUCCAACUCCCCCUCCCUAAUAAGUUUAAACUGAAAAGUUGAGACACAAGAAAACAUAAGAGACAAGUGAUUCAAGAAGAAUGAUGGAGUAACUUGGAAGCUUGAAGAUGUGAACCAAGACGACUAUACCAACGAGGUAGAAAUUAUAUAAUUAGGCAGAGUCAAAAUCAUGGAAACUACUUUCAAAUUAAUUCAUACCUGAAACAAUAUAUAUGAAAUCGUAACAACCUUUGCAAUAUUUGAAUCAAGAAUUCCUCAUAUGUUUGAAAUAUAUAUUACCAUCUUUUUCGUCUUUGUGAUUAUGGCAUUCUUC